GACCCCUUAGCUCAGUGGUAGAGCGUCGCAUUCCAGUUCUGGUGCUAUGAGAAACAUAUUUCGCGAAGGCCGUCCGUUCAAUCCGGGCAGGGGUCA